ACGGGAGGCAGCAGUGGGGAAUAUUGGGCAAUGGGCGCAAGCCUGACCCAGCAAUGCCGCGUGAAGGAUGAAGGUCUUCGGAUUGUAAACUUCUUUGAUUGGGGAAGAAUAAAUGACCUACCCAAAGAACAAGCUCCGGCUAACUACGUGCCAGCAGCCGCGGUAAUACGUAGGGAGCAAGCGUUAUCCGGAUUUACUGGGUGUAAAGGGCGUGUAGGCGGCUCUGCAAGUCAGAAGUGAAAUCCCCGAGCUUAACUUGGGUGCUGCUUCUGAAACUGUAGAACUUGAGUACUGGAGGGGAAAGCGGAAUUCCUAGUGUAGCGGUAAAAUGCGCAGAUAUUAGGAGGAACACCGGUGGCGAAGGCGGCUUUCUGGACAGUUACUGACGCUGAGGCGCGAAAGCGUGGGGAGCAAACAGGAUUAGAUACCCUGGUA
rnacentral:rRNA from 1 species